rnacentral:rRNA from 1 species
UGGGGAAUAUUGCACAAUGGGGGAAACCCUGAUGCAGCGACGCCGCGUGAGCGAUGAAGGCUUUCGAGUCGUAAAGCUCUGUCCUAUGGGAAGAUAAUGACGGUACCAUACGAAUAAGGACCGGCUAAUUACGUGCCAGCAGCCGCGGUAAUACGUAAGGUCCGAGCGUUGUCCGGAAUCAUUGGGCGUAAAGGGUACGUAGGCGGAUAAGCAAGUUAGAAGUGAAAUCCUAUAGCUCAACUAUAGUAAGCUUUUAAAACUGCUCAUCUUGAGGUAUGGAAGGGAAAGUGGAAUUCCUAGUGUAGCGAUGAAAUGCGCAGAUAUUAGGAGGAAUACCGGUGGCGAAGGCGACUUUCUGGCCAUAUACUGACGCUGAGGUACGAAAGCGUGGGUAGCAAACAGG